UACGUAGGGACCAAGCGUUGUUCGGAUUUACUGGGCGUAAAGGGCGCGUAGGCGGCAUGACAAGUCACUUGUGAAAUCUCUGGGCUUAACUCAGAACGGCCAAGUGAUACUGUCGCGCUAGAGUGCAGAAAGGGCAAUCGGAAUUCUUGGUGUAGCGGUGAAAUGUGUAGAUAUCAAGAGGAACACCUGAGGCGAAGGCGGGUUGCUAGGCUGACACUGACGCUGAUGCGCGAAAGCCAGGGGAGCAAACGGG
rnacentral:rRNA from 1 species